UUAUGGCCACAUCACGUUGAAACACCGGUUUCCAUAGGAUCAGCGAAGUUAAGCAAGGUCAAGCCUGGUCAGUACCUAGAUGGGUGACCGCUUGGGAAUACCAGAU